rnacentral:lncRNA from 1 species
GGGGAGCUGCCUUUGGGCAGCUCGCAGAGACGCAAGGGGGAUAGCGGGGAGAAGAAAAGAGCUGCUUGAGCAGCGUCAAAGAAAAGAAAAAAAUAUAAAAAAAAAAGAAAGGAAGGAGCAGCGGAAAAGACGUGAGGCAAGCAAGGGAGAUAGGCAGAGAGAAGGGGAGAGGCGCAGGAAGAGUGGGGAGAGAAGAGACUGGCAGCGUG